CAAUAGCGUAUAUUAAAGUUGUUGCAGUUAAAAAGCUCGUAGUCGGAUUUCUGGUGGGAGCGAUCGGUCUGGCGCUUAGCGCGAGUACUUGCAUCGUCUCCGGCCAUCCUUGGGGAGAGUCUGUCUGGCAUUAAGUUGUCGGGCAGAGGAUCCUCAUCGUUUACUGUGAAAAAAUUAGAGUGUUCAAAGCAGGCUUAUGCCGUUGAAUAUAUUAGCAUGGAAUAAUAAGAUAGGACUUUGGUACUAUUUUGUUGGUUUGCGCACCAAAGUAAUGAUUAAUGGGGACAGUUGGGGGUAUUCGUAUUCCGUUGUCAGAGGUGAAAUUCUUGGAUUUACGGAAGACGAACUACUGCGAAAGCAUUUACCAAGGAUGUUUUCAUUAA
rnacentral:rRNA from 1 species